CCGGGUCUCAAUGGCGGAGGGGCCACACCCGUUCCCAUACCGAACACGGCCGUUAAGCCCUCCAGCGCCGAUGGUACUGCCUCUUCUGGGGGUGGGAGAGUAGGACGAGGCCGGGG
rnacentral:rRNA from 1 species